rnacentral:tRNA from 1 species
UAUCUUUAUAAUUAAAGAAAAUAAUUUUGUGUUUAGGUCGCAAAAUCGACGGUUAGACGUCUCUAGAUAU